GGCUCUAUCUAGCUGCGCAGUUAUAAAUACGCUGCGACGUCGCUCACAUUCCUCCCUGCAAAUCGCAACACCCAAGCCACUGAGCGAGCUAGACACACACAAACCCAAUCCAGAGCUAGCCAAGAAGCAGGGAAGCUAGAGACGAUCCAUCGCGCGCUGCCAUGGCUCCGUCGUCGCAACGCACGGCCGCGGCCGCCUUCUUUGUCGUCCUCCUCGUCCUGGCGUCGCCGUCUCUGCUGCAACUGCAAGCAGCCAGGACGACGCCGAGUGACGACGGACAGGGACAGCAGCAGCAAGUGCUCGCCGCGACGGCGACGACGAUGAGCAGCAGCAGCUCCACUACGCCAGCGGCCGGGCCUGCGUCGGCAUCAUCGGCCUUGCAAGAGAGGCCCGCGAUUGCGCUUCUGCCGCCGCCGCCGCCGGCCACCACCAUUGCGGCAGCUGGCCGCAGCCGGCUGCUCGGCUCCGUGCCCAGCCCCGGCGUCGGCCACUAGCUCCGCUCCAGAGUCCAGACACCGCCUCUUCGCAGUAGCGUGAUACUACUGACCAUGAGUCUUACUACUAAUUCCUAGUUCCAAUUUCAGCAUGAGAGUUGAGACAUCUCCACAUGCUACGACGCAUACAUGUGGAUCAGAGUUUCAGGCAAAGAUCAGUUCUAUAUAUGUUAAUAUACAUAUAAGUUAAACUGGAAAAUCUUUUUUCUUUAUCUUCGAUUUUAGUUUUCAUUACGUCGCUGUCUGCUGGAUGGUUCUGAUGUGUUUGAAUGGAAUGUUGCUAAAAAUUACAUCAAAUUCUUUGACGUUUCACGUGGGCUCCCUAUUGAGUUACAUCGA
rnacentral:lncRNA from 1 species